rfam:Danio rerio chromosome 4, GRCz11 reference primary assembly.
GACGAGGUGGCCGAGUGGAUAAGGCGAUGGACUGCUAAUCCACUGUGCUCUGCACGCGUGCGUUCAAAUCCUAUCCUCGUCG